GCCCUAACGGUCUGUGGGGAUUCAAUUGUUCCAAAACAUGCCCGAACUGUGAAACUAGAUGCGAAAAGGAGACUGGCAUAUGCAACAGAUGUAAACCUGGAUUUAGAGAUCCAUUAAAGUCUUGCUCUGAAGCCUGUGUGGAGAUGACCUUCGGCUUCAAUUGCUCCGGGAAUUGCGCCAAGAAGUGUCAAGGGAAAGACUGCGUUGAGAGAGCCACAGGGACUUGCCCAUCUAAGUCAAUUUGGGAUAAUACCUGGUGGUACGUUGUCUUAGUUCUGCUUAUCAUUCCGAUUAUUGUUGCAUGCUCGAUAAG
rnacentral:sRNA from 1 species